CCAUACCAUUACCUGAACAUGACAAUACACAGUUCAGUGCGAGCUGUCAUCUCGACUGCGCGGUCACUUGACAGUUGGACCCUGGAAGAAGCGGGCGCAGGAUAGGCGUGGUGAAGUCACAGAGCCUAAUAUUCAUUCAGCGUUGAAGCAAAUGGAUCUCGGUCUCAACUGCUAACACCGUUGCCGAGGUACUACAAAACUACAAAUUAAAGCGCUCCUGC